rnacentral:rRNA from 1 species
UCGCUACUACCGAUUGAAUGGCUUAGUGAGCUGCAGGGAUUGAUAGAUUUGGUUGGGUUUCCAAUCAUUUUUAUCGAGAACUGCAUCAAACUUGAUCAUUUAGAGGAAGUAA